CGUCCGUCGUCGUUAACUUUUACAAAAAUCUUCUCCUCUGAAACUACUGGGCCAAAUUGAACCAAACUUGGCCACAAUCAUCAUUGGGGUAUCUAGGUUAUAAAAUGUGUCCGGUGAUCCGGCCAACCAACCAAAAUGGCCGCCAUGGCUAAAAAUAGAACAUAGGGGUAAAAUGCAGUUUUUGGCUUAUAACUCAAAAACCAAAG
rnacentral:lncRNA from 1 species